AACUUAGACUACAUCGACAUCUCCAACGUUGAUGGAUUCAACAUCCCAAUGGAGUUCAGCUCUGUAACUCCGUGCCGCGUUAUCAAAUGUUCGAAACCUAUUGUUGAUCAAUGCCCAGCUCAGCUAAGAACUCCAGGUGGAUGCAACAACCCCUGCACUGUUUUUAAAAGAAAUGAGUACUGCUGCACCAAUGGCCCAGGAAGCUGUGGCCCGACCGACUUCUCCAGGUUCUUUAAGAGCAGGUGCCCUGAUGCUUAUAGCUAUCCUCAAGAUGAUCGCACAAGCUUGUUUGCUUGCCCAAGUGGUACAAAUUAUAGGGUUGUCUUCUGCCCUUAAAUAAAGCUAGAUAUUUAAGGUUCUUGUGACAGCUUAUAUGCUCCAAGAACUUCACCAGAAAAGUAGAUUAUGAGAAAUAAACGCAUAUGUGAACCUUGUGGUAAUGGUUCACUGGAAUUGGGAUAAGUUUGAGCACAUAUAGCAUUGUGCGAUUUGUCUUCUUUAUCAGCAUUUUGGCUCUUUAAACAACUUAUGAACUAGAUCACCAGUUCAAAACUAAUGAAGUUUUACUAAAUUAAUCUGUAAGAAGGAUUUACAGAUCUCUAGUUUUAAAUUAGAUUGUCAAAAUACUUUGUUCCCCGCACUUCAAAAAUUUGAGUCAUAUUUAGGUUUAACUUACACAGGAGAAUUCCUUUUUUUUGGAAUUCAGACUAUCUCUCCAGUCAAAUACUAAGGUGUCAUAUAAAUCAAAAUAAUUUGUUUUAGUGUAUUACAUAAUGUUACCACGAAAUCCAGAGUAAGAGAAGUUUGUCUUACAAACAUUGAAGAAAUGGGAUGUUGGUGUAAAUUCAAAACAAAAAUGGGGAUUUCCAUGCUAAGGUAGACCCCAAAACAAUUGAAAAUGAUAAUCUCAUGAAAUAACAAAGAUGGUGAUAUGAAAGUUUACUAAGUAAGAUAAAGGUGCAAUUAAGGAGCUCAAGUGAUGUGGAAACUCGUAGAUGCCAAAUUGAUAAUUUGAUGCACUCAUGCUAAAUAGUACUAAUUCACUCUUAAAAGCUGGAAUUGGAGCCACUGCUAGAAGUUCCAUGAAGUUCAGUUCAAUUGUUAUAUUUAUUACGUAAUAUUAUUAUGCUUUUGGAAAAAGUAAUAUACAUGAACGAAAAUACUUGGUAUGUAGUGAAUACAACAUUAUAAUGUAGUUGUCUACCAAAAAUUUAAAUACACACAAUAAAAUAAUGCAUAUCUAUUCAAAUUAUGUAUCAGAAAAGAGUUAAAUAUUGCUCUAAGGAUAAAAAAUUAAGUGAUUAUAUAAUUGUUUUGAACGCUAUUUUUAGGAAAAUCAUUAUAUAGCAUCUUAGUGAUAACUGCUUUUGUGAUAUUAAAAGAUGUUAGAAAUAAUUCCUGAAAUUAAUCUGGUUAAAAAACGCUCCAUUCAAACAGAAAAUUCAUGUCCUUUUUUUUCUUUUUUGGUCUUUCGUAGAGGUAAUCCACAAAUUGGACACUUACGAAAAAGCAUUGGAACAUUGAUUGAAAGAACAACGAGGGAUGAGAACUGACUGAAAUUAUGCAGGAGGAUUAUGGACAGAUCCGCAUCUUUUGAAUCAUUCCUAGGAUACAAAACAAGACCAUCAACAUCCCUAAAAUUUCUAUGUAGAAAUUUGUUGAAAUAUCAACACUUCCAUGCAAAAUCAUAGCAACCAAUUCACCUAUAUAAACCCCCUGGCUGUGGCAUCUCCAAACCACAACAGCUACCAGUUGAAUUGGAAGGUUUUGAAGCACCAUGAAUUUCACCUACACUUUGUCACUUUUGGUUUUGUGCCUAGCUUUAUACUUAACCUUCACCAAUAGCUGCAAAUUUCAACAUUAACAAAAUAAACACAUAAAACAAUUAAACCUUUACCAUGUAUUCUCUUUUACUUAUUGAUCGGUCACAUCAUGAAAUACAAAAGGAUUAUAGAAUUACUUACUUAUAUAAAUAUAUUCCAGGGUAAUGUUAUCUAUUCCAUAUGAUUGAUGAAAAGCGAAAAUGACUUGCCUGUCUUUCUUCGUCAGAAGAGUACCUAAUAGCCGCACUAGAAUUGCCAGCACAAAUAAGAAAUAAAAUGCUGUAAAACCAAAAAGAGCAGUGCAGCCACUGUUGGCUUCUAAAUAUCAGCAUAGUGAUUGUUAUGGCUACAACAACUAACCACCCGAAAACAUGUUUUAACUUUUCCUUAAAGUUGUGACUUAAAUGUUCAACAUCUUAAUGUAAGAGGAAGGAUUCAAUUCCCAGACCUCUUACUUGCACUCCCUCCCCUUUAAACUAUUCAACUCAUCUCAUCCCCGAGUUGUAUGUAUAUUGACUUGUCUUGUUAUAUUAAUUAAUAUCUUUUAACGUUGGAAAGGAAAUACAAAAAGUUUAAACUAUAGUGAUGAUUGACUAAUUUUUGUGAGAUCUGAAUUGCCAUGUGCAAUACCUUGAAGGUGUAAAUUGACCUACCCACCUUCCAUCUUUUACUACUGCUGGGCAAUUAAAAUAAUUUUUCUUUGUUCAAUAUAAUAGUGGAAUUGGUAAGAAUUAGGAGAGUAUUUCUAUUUCUAGUCUAAGAAAAUUGAACAAAUUUGACAAAUUUCAGUUUAAAAAUAUUGACAAAUUAUCACUGCCCGAUACGGGCCCAGUCCAUCUAAAACACGCUUGAAGCACAGAGCAGAUUGAUUUGGUGGUUUCCGGUUGGGCUUCCGGUCCUUGAUCCGCGUCUAUUAACGAAUUCGUAUUGUCAAUAUUGGGCCGUAUAAUCCACCAGCCCAUGGAAUUUAAUUUAGGAAAAUAAAUUUCUUUUAAGUUGUGAAUUUAAUUAGUAGAACGAGAAACAAUUCAGAAAAUUAGUAUAAAGUACAAACCAUAUAGUACAUGUUUUUCUCAAUAAAAUACCAAUUAUGACUAGCUUAAGGAAUUGAUAAAUAAUUCAUCUUUGUUCAGCUUUUCCUUUUGGGUGAUUCCCAUUAAUAAAAUCAUCUUUGUUCUCUCAAAAAAAAAGAAAAGAAAAGAAAAGAAAGAAAGAAACGAACUCCAUCCUUUUAAGUGGUAAAUAAAAUGAAUAAAAAGAAAAAUGCAAAUAAAUAUCUUAACACUGCAAAAAAGAAAUUGAUAUUGAAACAUACUGAUAUUUAAGAAGUUUUUAUAAAUUUUGGCAUCACCUACAGAUAAAAUGAUAUCUCUGUAAUGUGCCUUUUAUUAACUAUAAAAAAAAAAUACGUUACAGAGGUUCCAGUGGCAGAGGUAGAAAUACUUUUCAGUUGGGGCACGAAUUAACUUUCCCAAUUUUUUUCCAAUUUACAAGUGGCUAAUAAUAACAAAAGAUUAUUUUUUUAAAGGAUCAAAUCUAAUAGACUGAUAAACCACCACUGCUUUGUUAAUGAAAAAUGCAAAGCUAUGGGCCAAGGUAAGGUAAAUAUGCAAGCAAAAGUACGUUGGAACUUGGCAUCUAAAGAUUUGCAGCUAUUUGCUUUCUUCUUUGUUUACGUUUUGAUAAAUUAUACAAUAAUGACUAUGCUAUAUAAUAACUAUUUCAAAAUCCAGCCAAGGCACAAUUUAGAAUUUUCAAGAAAUCUCAAAACUAUUCUAGGUACCUCAUUUGGGUCAAUAGGGAUAUGUGCCCCAUUGGCCACAACGUAAAUCUACCCUUUUUUUUAGUAAAAAAAGUUUGGGUGAAUUUGAUUUCGAUUAUCGUCACGGGUCAAAAUCUGUUUCCGGAACUAUAAGUCGCUUGCAGAAGUUCUUAUAAAUCACCCAACAACAGAGACCUCACAAUGUAAAUCCACUUAUAGGUUCUUAGUUCGACGAUCUGAAGCUUUCCUUUGCCAUAAUAAAGCAUGAACUACAUUCAAACUGCAUUCCUUACACUGGGCACAAGUAGCAGUAAAUGAAUUUUGAUUGAAUAUGAAUUUAGCAUUUUAGGCUUGUAGCAACCAGAAAUGCUAUUCUGGAAAGUUGCCAAAACUAAAGUUUAAGCACAAAAAACUGCUUGAACACUUCACGAAACUGCCCAAAUUGGGCUUUUAAUUUUUUUUCUCCAAUUACUUGAGUAACCUCUACGAAAUCCUGGAAUAGAAACUCUUGUUCUACUUGAUAUCCUGAUUGAAUUGUCUAAGCUUCUUGAAGCUAUUUGCCUAACAUUCGCUGGUCUCAGACUUGAGUAGGAAGACAAACAGACGUAUGGUCAUGAUUUGUGCCCAUUCGGCUGCACCAAAAUCUUGUUGAAACUCUAGACUAAGAGGAAGAUUCCAAAGAAAAAUAUCAAAACAGAAGACUUUAGGAGUUACGAAAUUGGCAUUUAGUCUCCUUGGGUGUGGAAUUUGAAAUCAUCAUCAAUACUAACAUGUUGAUAUUGACUACCUCACAACAGAAAGUUAUCGCGAAAAUAAUUAGAUGCUAAUACCAAACGUUUUAAUCUCUAACCAUCAUUUCUUAUGUUAAACAUAGGUUUUAGCGUAGCUAAUCAAUAUAUGUACAAUUGCUAAUUUUUUCCACUAAUUAAGUCAAAAGAUAAUUGUUUUGAAUGGUGUUUUUGCGAAAAUUCCAAUAAAAUAUUUUGUUAAUAAACACAUUUGAUAUUUUCAGAGAUGUUAGAUAGUGAUUCCUGAAAACAGUGAGGUUGAAAAAACAUUUCAACCAAACAGAUAAGUCAUGUCUGUUUCUUUUUUCUAUCUUAGAGAAUUGGACACUAAAGAAAAGAAAUUGUAACAUUGAUAUAUAGAACAGUCAAGUUCACAUCACCAGAAGAAUAAACAAUGGGGGAUGAGAUUAUGCAGAAUAUGGACGGAUAAGCAUCUUUGAAUCAUUCCUAGAAUACAAGAAAGGGCCAUCAACAUCUCUGAAAUUUCUCAUGUAGAAAAUUUGUUAAGAAGAUUAACAUGUACACGCAAAAUGAUAGCAGCCAAUCGCCCUAUAUAAACCCCCUACCUGUGGCAUCUUGAAACCACAGCCAGCUACUAAUUCACUUAGAAAGUUUGAAACACCAUGAAGUCCACCUACACUUUGUCCCUUUUGGCUUUAUGCCUAACUUUAUACUUAACCUUCACCAAUGCCGCAAAUUUCAACAUUAUAAACCAAUGUACCUACACAGUUUGGGCAGCUGCUUCCCCAGGCGGUGGCAGGCGGCUCGACCGAGGCCAAUCAUGGUCCCUAGACGUGGCUCCUGGCACCACCCAAGCUCGCAUUUGGGGCCGAACCAAUUGCAACUUUGAUGCCAAUGGCCAAGGCCACUGUCAAACAGGUGACUGCAACGGGCGCCUCGAAUGCCAAGGCUAUGGAAGUCCACCGAAUACGCUAGCUGAGUUCGCUCUAAACCAGCCUAACAACUUAGACUACAUCGACAUUUCCAACGUUGAUGGAUUCAACAUCCCAUUGGAGUUCAGCUCCGUUACUUCUUGCCGUGACAUCCGAUGUUCAGCGCCUAUUGUUGAUCAAUGCCCAGCUCAGCUAAGAACUCCAGGUGGAUGCAACAAUCCCUGCACUGUUUUUCACACAAAUGAGUAUUGUUGCACCAAUGGCCCAGGAAGCUGUGCCCCUACCGACUUAUCCAGGUUCUUCAAGGACAGGUGCCCUGAUGCUUAUAGCUAUCCUCAAGAUGAUCGCACAAGCUUGUUUACUUGCCCAAGUGGUACAAAUUAUAGGGUUGUCUUCUGCCCUUAAAUAAAGCUAGAUAUUUAAGAAAAGUAGAUUAUGAAGAAAUAAACGGAUAUGAGAACCAUCUUGUAAUGGUUCACUGAAAUUGGAAUAAAUUUGAGCACAUAUAGCAUUGUGCGGUUUGUCUUCUUUAUCAGCUUUUUGGCUCUUUAAACUACUUAUGAACUACAUCACUGCUUACCAAAUUAAUCUGUAAGAUGGAUUUACACAUCCCUUGCUCUGACCCCUGAUUGCAUUUCUUCAAUUUCAAAACUGAGUUACCAUGUUAAUUAGAAAACACAGUGUCCAUGGAUUUUAGUGGUUUUAUUAUCCAUUACGAUUUGUAAUAAAAGAUCCUGGAGAAAAACAAAAUAACAACAACGCAGACAAAAAAAGUUAUACGAUAAAAUUAAAAAAAAAGUAAAAAGUUCUUUUACCCCAUCUAACUUAGCCAUAUAAGAAAAGAAGCUACAAAGUUCAGGAGCAGCCAAGAAUACAUCCACUUUGCAAACAAUUGAUCCGUUUCCUUUUCUUCCACCUGUCAUACUCCUUUCUGUUUUCCUUUCUCUUUUCUUCAAGUAUCAUCCAUGAAUCAGUUCCAGCAAUUUGAGGUAACAAUAAAAUCUAGGCUGUUCGGUGUCGUGGUUCAAUGGAUCUGAUACCACAUCUUGGACGGGUACAAGCUUUGCCCGUCCUCCAUACUACUCUGGCAAAGUUUCUUCGCCUAUGUCCUGGAUAAAAUCCCCCCUUUCCUCUUCAUUAAUCAUGAUCUUAAUCUGUGUUUAUCAUUUAAAAGUAGCUAGUUAAUCACGAUUUUAGAAAAAAACAUGUUUACUCGAAAUUUUUGGAUUUGGAAAUCUAAACGCAAUUAUAUGCUACUUUUUGUACCCAUAAUCAAUGAAUAGAUAUUGAGCGAUGCUGUUACAUGUUUCUGCAAUCAGGCAAAAGAGACAAAUAUAAGCCACAAAUGGCUCAAAUUAAGUGAGAUCUUAGAAUCUUUGAAUUCAUAGAAACGAACAACGGAUCUUCAAUAACUGCUCCUCUGGUUGAUCACAUAAAGAGGCUAACUAUCUGCGUUCUGUAAUCGAUUAAGCAAUAGUACGAAUGGUUUUUUUCAACUCAUUGGGAUCAUGAUGUGACUGGAAAGUUUUAUUUCUGUUGAAAAUUAAAUUAAUUAGCUUCAUACUCUUGCAGAACAAUAAUCUUCCAGUGGGAAAACAAGAUGGGAAGAAAAGGAAAGAAAAGAUCACUUUCUGUCGACUUCUACAAUCAAUAAAAAGCUCCAUUAAUUAACCAAAAAAAGAAGAAGAAGAAGAUGGAUCUUGUAUUGGUUCGUUGUCUUUAAGUAUUUCUGCACAAUAUUGUCUUGUUUUGACAAGUGAUAGUCGCACAUAGAGGGCAGUCUCUUGCAAGCCUUUCAAAGCAAGAUGCAAGUAAACACAUAUGCUCGAACAGAGAACUUAAAUUGCAUUUGCUUACUUUGACAAGUUUAAUGGCUUCAUCCUACGUAUGGAUGGAAGCAGUACUUUAGUUAUUAUCUGCCUGCUAAUUUUAAGAAAGAUCUUUUAUAUGUUUAAAUUUGCAGAAAUGGUUGCAUAUCAGAAAGACCUUCUCAAGAGUUGCUCUCUCAAGGAAGUAUGAAACCAUCCUCCAUACACUCACAAAGAACCAGGGUAUAUGUACAAUGUAACACUUGGCCAAGCACUCAGGGUAGCAAGCCAACACAAAUAAGAGAUUCGAAUGUAAUAUCGUAACGAGAAAGAAUUGCACAACUCCAAGGUGAAUGAGUAGGACCAGUCAUUGUGUCACGGUAAAACAGGAAUCUUUCUUGAAUUUGAAUGUGGAAAGAUCUGAUCAUUGUCCUUUUCCAUGGAUCCGAAUUUUAUCUGACCUUAAGUUUAAAGAUCUCAGCCGAUAACCUUAAUGAUCCAUGGUUUGACAUGAAUCUAUUACAGUAAGUCAGAACAAGAAUCUGUCUUGAGGAAUUUGCUAACUGAGGGUAGUAGCACUAAAACCAUUUUCCAAUAGAGGUCCUAGAAUUACACUUAAAUUAGGGAUAUGAAGAACCUCACAUGUAAAAUUUAAUGGCAGCAAGGUAAUACUUUUUGAACAGCAUAGAAGUCUACUCGGAGAAACUCAAAUUCAACGGAUGUUUCUGCAUGCUGAUUGAAUUUUCUAAGCUUCAUGAAGUCAUCUGCCUAACUCUUGACUGGGAUCAGAAUAGAGAACGAAGACAAACAGGUGUAUGGUCUUGAUUUAUGCCCAAUCUGCAACUCCAAAAUCUUGUUGAAAUUCUAGACUAUGAGGAAUAAUAUUAAAAAAAACAUAGUUACGAUAUUAUCAUUAGUCUCUCCAGUUGUGUGAUUUUGAAAUGAUCGUCGCUACCAAAAUGUUGAGAUUGACUACCGCAUAACAGAAAGUUAUCGCUAAAAUAAUUAGAAGCUAAUAUCAAAUGUUUUAAUCCCAGAUCAUCAUUUAUUAUUUUGAACAUAGAUUUCAAUAUGGCCAAUCAAUUUUUGUAUAAUUGCUAGUUCUUUCCACUAAUUAAGUCAUAAGAUAAUUGCUUUGCACAGUGAUUUUAGGAGAAUUGUAAUAUAAUAUUUUGUUAAUAAGCGCAUUUGUGAUAUUAAGAAAUGUUAGAAAGUGAUUCCUGAAAACAGUGUGGUUGAAAAACACUCCACCCAAAAGGAUAAUUCAUGUCUGUUUCUUUUUUAUAUCUUAGAUAGAGGUAAUCCACGAAUUGGACACUAGAGGAACGACAUGUAAGGUUGAUCUUUAAAACAGUCAAGAUUUACAUCACCAGAAGAAUAAAAAAAAGGGCAAAAUACACUGUGUCCUCCAGUGGUUUAGCAUUUUUCACAUAACCCGCUUAUGAUUUCAAAAGUUACAUAUAACUCUCUUAUGGUUUCGAUUAAAGUAUUAAGGUGAAAAAAAUUUGCAUUCCACAACGGAGUCAACUAAAAUGUCAAAAUUAUCCCUAUGUAAAGUUAAAAAUUAUUUAUUUACUACAGGGGAUUCUAUAUAUAUUUAAAAAUCAUAAGGAGAUUAUAUGGUAAAACAAUAAAUCAUAAAGAAGUUAUAUGCUAAAAUAUAAAACCAUAUGGGGCUAGAGUGUCAUGCAUAUUAUAUUUAUAAAUUUUUGUCACUUCACCCAUUUUAGUUUUAAACAAGAAUAACUUAGAUAUUUUCAUGAGUUCGGUUAUAAAUGAUCAUUUCUAUCGCUUUGACACUUUAAUUCAAAUUAUGAGAGGUUAUAUAUAGUUUUUAAAACUAUAGGUGGGUCAUGUGAAAAUUUGCUAAAUCACAUGAUAAUAAAGUGUAUUUUGCCAAAUAAAAAAUGAGGGAUGAGAGCUGACUGAAAUUAUGCAGAAGGAUAACGGCUAGAUCAGCAUCUUUGAAUCAUUCCUAGCUAGUAUACAAGAUAACCAUCAAAAUCUCUGAAAUUUCUUAUGUAGAAAAUUGGUGAAGAAGAUUAACGUGUACACGCAAGUUAAUAGCAGCCAAUCACCCUUUGUAAACCGCCAGCUGUGGCAUCUUGAAAACACAAUAGCUACUAGUUCACUUUGAAAGUUAGAAACACCAUGAAGUUCAACUACACCUUGUCCCUUUUAGUUUCGUGCUUCAUUUUAUACUUAACCUUCACCAAUGCUGCAAAUUUCAACAUUAUAAACCAAUGUACCUACACAGUUUGGGCAGCUGCUUCCCCAGGGGGUGGCAGGCGGCUCGACCGAGGCCAAUCGUGGUCCCUAGAUGUGGCUCCUGGCACCACCAACGCUCGCAUUUGGGGCCGAACAAAUUGCAACUUUGAUGCCAAUGGCCAAGGCCAGUGUCAGACAGGUGAUUGCAACGGGCGCCUCGAAUGCCAAGGCUAUGGAAAGCCUCCGAAUACGCUAGCUGAAUUCGUCCUAAACCAGCCUAACAACUUAGACUACUUCGACAUUUCCCUCCUUUAUGGAUUCAACAUCCCAUUGGAGUUCAGCUCCGUUACUCCUUGCCAUGAUAUCAGAUGUUCAGCGCCUAUUGUUGAUCAAUGCCCAACUCAGCUAAGAACUCCUGGUGGAUGCAACAAUCCCUGCACUGUUUUCAACACAACUGAGUACUGUUGCACCGGUGGCACUAGCUGUGGCCCGACCUUCUUCUCCACGUUCUGCAAGGUCAGGUGCCCUGAUGCUUAUUGCGAUCCUCGAGAUGAUCCUACAAGCUUGUUUACUUGCCCAAGUGGUACAAAUUAUAGGGUCG
rnacentral:lncRNA from 1 species